UACAUAUAUAACUAAAUUAAGUUAGAGGGACUUGGUGACGAAAUCAAACAAUUCAGUUUGGGCGGAACCCUGAUCAGCAGUAGGUGCCGUGCCGAUAUGUUGCUUCGACUGGGGCCUGGCUGUUCUUUACGAAUCGGCCAGAGCACGAUCACGUGAUCUCUGUUUAAUUAGUAUUUGUGCAGAUUUAUUUGAAAUGUUCAAACACACACACAUAAAUAUACCUUUCUUGGAUUUAUAAAUAAAUGACCGAGUCCACAGCAAUGAGCCAGCGCUAGCGCAUGAAAUCCCGUACCUACAAGAACAAUAACGACAACGAAAAUAUCAGUGUGUACUUGACAAUGUGUUGGGAACACAGAAACAAUUUUUUGGAAUUUGCUUAGCGAAGAUUGAAAGACGCAUAGAGCCGAUACACCAAAACAGGACUCGGCACGGCCCAUCUAUUGUGCAUAGGACCAUGAAGCAAUUAUAUAAGGAGGGUCCGUCGG